rnacentral:rRNA from 1 species
CGGCACCGGAGAGGGAGCCUGAGAAACGGCUACCACAUCCAAGGAUGGCAGCAGGCGCGCAAAUUACCCAAUCCCGACACGGGGAGGUAGUGACAAUAAAUAACAAUACGGGGUUCUUUAGGAUCUCGUAAUUGGAAUGAGUACAAUUUAAAUCUCUUAACGAGGAACAAUUGGAGGGCAAGUCUGGUGCCAGCAGCCGCGGUAAUUCCAGCUCCAAUAGCGUAUAUUAAAGUUGUUGCAGUUAAAAAGCUCGUAGUUGAAUUUCGGGGUUAGUAGGUUGGUCAUGCCUCUGAUAUGUACUGGUCUCACUGAUUCCUCCUUCCUGAUGAGCCGUAAUGCCAUUAAUUUGGUGUUGCGGGGAAUUUGGACUGUUACUUUGAAAAAAUUAGAGUGUUUAAAGCAAGCUAACGCUUGAAUACAUUAGCAUGGAAUAAUGAAAUAGGACGUUCGAUCCUAUUUUGUUGGUUUCUAGGAUUGACGUAAUGAUUAAUAGGGAUAGUUGGGGGCAUUAGUAUUCAAUUGUCAGAGGUGAAAUUCUUGGAUUUAUUGAAGACUAACUACAGCGAAAGCAUUUGCCAAGGAUGUUUUCAUUAAUCAAGGACGAAAGUUAGGGGAUCGGAAGACGAUCAGAUACCGUCGUAUCUUAACCAUAAACUAUGCCGACUAGGGAUCGGAUGAUGUUAAUUUUUUAAUGACUCAUUCGGC